rnacentral:tRNA from 1 species
AGCAGCGUGGCUCAGUGGAGAGAGCCUGGGCUUUGGAGUCAGGGGUCAUGGGUUCGAAUCCCAACUCUGCCA